rnacentral:lncRNA from 1 species
GUCAGACACUUCACUCAUCUUGACAUUUGCAGAAGGCUUCAAAGGAAUCCAUUUUUGUGGGACAAUGCCCCUUCAGAGGAUCUUCAGAGUAAGAACUUAAGAGUGAUGAAUCAUAGAAGAAACAGUAACACUAUUUUAGCUCUAGUGAAACCUUCUGUUCACUUAUAAGCCAAGAAGAUAAAGAGGACUGAAUUUCAAAAAUAAGAUAUCUCCUCAAAUGGCGUCACCAACCUCUGUUGAUGUCCUGAUGCAGAACGGCCUGGGCUCCACACAGGCUCAAGCACUGUCUCUGCCAACUCUCUGGGCAGUUCCCCCUGCCAACUCAAGUGUGCAUGUAGGUCAUGGAAUCUCCCACAGUUAG